GCCUUCGUGGUGUAGUGGUCAGCAUACUGAGCCAGAGGUCCGUGGUUCGAUUCCCGGCGAAGGCG
rnacentral:tRNA from 1 species